rnacentral:lncRNA from 1 species
CGACCAAACGCCUUUUCGGGGCUACCCGGACGUGGGCCGGCUGGGGGGCCUGGGAGCUCCUAAACCCCGCCACUUCCGGAAGACUCCUGGCCCGGGAUUAUGCCAAGAAACCAGUCCACCCUCUGGAGUCGGCUUUCGGCACCCUGACCCUGACCCAGGGUCUGACCCUAGGCCUGAGUGAGGACUGGCCUCCCUGCAGUCCCAACAACUCCUGCCCUGCCUGGCUGUGAUGGGGCGGGAUCACGAGGGCUGGAGUCCACCAGAUUAGAGGAGGCUGAGGGUGACACGUAGUUAGGGAGUGAUGGGGCCUCUUGCUGGGGGUAGAUCACCUCAUGGACCCCACGUCCUGCAGAACCCCCAAGGGUCAUGCCCUCGGCCCCACCCUUGCCACAGCAGCCCCACCCAUGCCUAGGUGGGUGCCCUGGGGGAUUUGGACUGGGCUCACCCACCCUCCGGCUUCCUCUGUCCACAAGCUGGAUGGGCGGGGCGGG